rnacentral:rRNA from 1 species
ACAUACGACCAUAGACUGAGGACUAACUGGGCAUCCCGUCCGCUCUGCCACACAUAAGCCUCAGAUCGACAGAUUAGUAGUUGGGUGGGAGACCAUCAGCGAAUUCCUGUUGUUGUAUGUU